GAUGCUCUGUGAUGCAUGCGCCCUUAUUGAUAGACUGGCUAGGCUAGUUAGUCUGGCCACGCCCUCCCAUACUUCUUGUCGAGACUAAGAGUGGCAGUGACACAGCUACAAGACACGCUCUUUUCCUAUUCUAUCUCGAUCCAAUGCUGAAUCAGCAAGCCACGUGGUGCCUCUGGAGAAACAACAAAUCACUUUUAAUUUUUAAGCAUGGAGCCAGUUAAAUUGCCACAUCUGUAUUUGGUGGAUGCUUUGUCCAGUCCUACUGUGGGCCAUAGUGACAUAGCCAGGACCAUGGAGAGAGACCAUUGCUGAGGAGGUGGGGAGGGCAAGUUCCUGGUCAAUCAGAUGAUCUUACAUGACAAAGCUGCUCGUAAAGAUGCAGAGUCUGAUGACAAACUCAGGAUGAUGAACCUGAGGAUUUGUACAAAACAGGUGAGGUGGACUUUGACCCCAACUAUGAGAGUUUACUAGCGGAGCUCCACCUAGCAACCAGCGGUAGCAACGCACCUGGAGUGGAUCAGAUACAAUGAGAAACUAAUACUGGAGAAUUAUGCGGCCAUUUUUCAGCCCGGCCAAGUGUUGAGGAGACAAGAAGAGGCACUGAGAAUGGAGGCCUACUAUGCUGCUAAGAGAGGGGUCUCACGUAAACUGGCCACUCAGACGCUAACAGACCUCAGCAGUAUGGAAAAGGGUCUGUCAUCAGAGACUACAAACUGCCCAGCCCUUACAUGCAGCCCACCUCCAGUCUGGUGAGCAGCCUAUAAGCAGUGAGGGACAGUCUGAAGACAUGGGUCCAUGGACAGGGGCUACUGAGGAACAUCCAAGAGAUACUACACGUAGGAACAGAGCCGACCGACGUGGAGACGGUUACUAUCGCUACUGAAGAGGUGGUACCCAGUUCACAGUUUGAGAUAGAGAUAAGUCAGAGUGAUGAUGGGGAGAGUGUGGAGCAGCUACAGGCCAGUGACUUGGACCCUAACUUUGGCCUUGUGCAUGAUACCCAGGAGGUCCACACGCUCACUAGCGAUGAUGGUUUGCCCUCUGACAUGACCUCUGAGGAUGGCUCCACCCUCAACGCUAUAGGCCACGCCCUCAUUCAGAUGCAGCAAGGUGGACAGACCACCCCCUCAUCUCAGUUCCUCAUCACUAGGAGCACCUCAUCUGGUUCAGAGUCUGGCCAAAAUGGUGAGUAAUGGAGGCCAAAUUUAUCAGUGUGACGAUACAUUUUUGGGGGCAAAUCCAAAAUUAUAUAUAGGCUUCGAUAAGUUAUCCAAGUGCUUGUACAUACUAAUUACAUGUAGAACCAUGAGUAUUAUUGCUAAUGUUUUAAUUAUAAAAUAAGGUUUCUUCGAAGUGGUGUUGAAAAAU